CCCCCCUUACAUCAUGUCUCAAAUCAGGCAGGAAACCCGCUGAACUNAGCAUAUCANNANCGGAGGAAAAGAACUAACAAGGAUUCCCCUAGUAACGGCGAGUGAAGCGGGAAAAGCUCAAAUUUGAAAUCUCACGGGUUCCCCGUGCGAGUUGUAAUUUCGAGAAGCAGUAUCGGAACCCACCUGGGUCCAAGUCCUCUGGAACGAGGCAUCAAUGAGGGUGACAAUCCCGUACUUGACUCAGGGGAUAAAGGGAACCAUGUGAUCUGCUUUCAAAGAGUCGGGUUGUUUGGGAAUGCAGCCCAAAUCAGGUGGUAAAUACCAUCUAAAGCUAAAUAAUGGCGAGAGACCGAUAGCGAACAAGUACCGUGAGGGAAAGAUGAAAAGAACUUUGAAAAGAGAGUUAAACAGUACGUGAAAUUGUCAAAAGGGAAACGCUUGACACCAGCAUUGCGAUGCGGGAAACUCUGUCUUGGCUUUGGCCAGGGCAGUACUUGCCCGUAGGCAAGUCAACAUCAGUUCUUGGCCAGUGAAAAACGGGAAAGCUGUAGUCUUCGGGCUGACUUUCCACGAGAUGGCUGGGCAGGGACUGAGGAUCGCAGCGUGGCCCUGGGGUGCCCUGAUGCCAUGCCGAAGGACUGGCAGCAACAGCGUGCUGAUGUUGUUGGUUCGAGGUAUGCUCGUUGGGACGCAUCACUUCUACGCUUGGGAUGUUGACGUAAUGGUUUUAAUCGACC
rnacentral:rRNA from 1 species